rnacentral:rRNA from 1 species
GGGAACAGCGGGCGGGGAUCAGCGGGAAGAGGGAGGGAACGAGGGUGGGCCGGAGGCAUUGGGGGUGAAGAGCGGGUAGGCGGCGACUGAAGUACGGCGUGAAAUCUGGCGGGUCAACCGGAAGCGGUGGGGGGAAACUGGGUGGCUAGAGGGCGGGAGAGUAGAGGGGAAUUCCUGGGGUAGCGGUGGAAUGCGCAGAUAUCAGGAAGAACACCCGUGGCGAAGGCGGCUCUCUGGAACGCAACUGACGCUGAGACGCGAAAGCGUGGGGAGCAAACAGGAUUAGAUACCCGGGUAGUC